rnacentral:rRNA from 1 species
GUGCACGCUGGCGGUAGGCCUAACCCCUGCCAGUCGCACGGCAGCACAGUAAGAGCUUGCUCUUACGGGUGGCGAGUGGCGGACGGGUGAGGAAUACAUCGGAAUCUACUUUUUCGUGGGGGAUAACGUAGGGAAACUUACGCUAAUACCGCAUACGACCUACGGGUGAAAGCAGGGGAUCUUCGGACCUUGCGCGAUUGAAUGAGCCGAUGUCGGAUUAGCUAGUUGGCGGGGUAAAGGCCCACCAAGGCGACGAUCCGUAGCUGGUCUGAGAGGAUGAUCAGCCACACUGGAACUGAGACACGGUCCAGACUCCUACGGGAGGCAGCAGUGGGGAAUAUUGGACAAAGGGCGCAAGCCUGAUCCAGCCAUACCGCGUGGGUGAAGAAGGCCUUCGGGUUGUAAAGCCCUUUUGUUGGGAAAGAAAAGCAGCAGGUUAAUACCCCGCUGUUCUGACGGUACCCAAAGAAUAAGCACCGGCUAACUUCGUG